ensembl:snoRNA
UACCUAUGAUGAUCCUAUCCCGAACCUGAAUUUCUGUUGAAAAACCUUAUACGGAUCUGGCUUCUGAGGU